rnacentral:ncRNA from 1 species
AAGUUGGGGUGUGGGCCCUAACACAGAAAAUUCAUUUUAUUGAAUUUUACAUUUAUGUGCAAGUUGGGCAAAGUGUCUUAUUUUUUCAAAGUAUUUAAAAGUAAAAUUACAUGUUAAUACGUAGUAUUAAUGGCGAGACUCCUGAGGGAGCAGUGCCAGUCGAAGACAGGGGCCCCAACACAGAAGCUGACAUAUAGUCAGCUUACAACAAUGUGCCGGUUGGGGUGGCUGAGACGGCACCCUAGGAAGGGACCCGUCAUCAAAAAUUCUAUUUAUAGAAUUUUACAGUAAUGUGCCAGACGGGCAAAGCGAAGCCAUUCAAUACGAAGUAUUGUAUAAAUAGAGAACAGCAG